rnacentral:rRNA from 1 species
AACGAACGCUGGCGGCAUGCCUAACACAUGCAAGUCGAACGAAGCCUUCGGGCUUAGUGGCGCACGGGUGCGUAACACGUGAGAAUCUGCCCUUCGGUUCGGAAUAACAGUUAGAAAUGACUGCUAAUACCGGAUGAUGACGUAAGUCCAAAGAUUUAUCGCCGAAGGAUGAGCCCGCGUAGGAUUAGGUAGUUGGUAGGGUAAUGGCCUACCAAGCCGACGAUCCUUAGCUGGUCUGAGAGGAUGAUCAGCCACACUGGGACUGAGACACGGCCCAGACUCCUACGGGAGGCAGCAGUGGGGAAUAUUGGACAAUGGGCGAAAGCCUGAUCCAGCAAUGCCGCGUGAGUGAUGAAGGCCUAGGGUUAUAAAGCUCUUUUACCAGGGAUGAUAAUGACAGUACCUGGAGAAUAAGCUCCGGCUAACUCCGUGCCAGCAGCCGCGGUAAU